AAGAGCUUUAGUCGGGAUUAAAUGCAAAACGCCAAAAUUUAACUUUUAAAAAUACAACGUCUAAAUGCAACCUAAGCACAUCUGUAAACCGAUGCAAAACAGGCACCGGUGAGAGCCCGCCCCUCGCCGCGCCCUCUGCGUCCUGCCCGGCUUUGUGCAAACGCUGUUAGCUCAGAGCUUCGGGAACGAAAAUCCUGGGAACUUUCUUUUUCUGGCUGGCAACGUGGAAGUUUGCGCUCACCCAGGGGAUUUCUCAUUCGCUGAAGGAUUUAAGUCCGUGUGUGUCAUGGAAAAUCCGACUUCCUCCCAGCUCAAGGUGGCCCCGAAGAGGUGGGCCUGGGACCCACGACUCCCGGGUCCCUGGGCAGGCCACCCUUCCUCUCUGCAGCCGCCUGCCAGCGCCCAACACAUCCGGGGGCUCAACAAUGAAACAGUAAAUAUCCACACGAAACAUAGAUUCUGCCGAAGAGCUCCACUGCAAUGCACCUGGCUUUCUAGAAGCAAUAAAUGAAAGUCUCAUAUUAAAAAAAAAAAAGAUUAAUGAAGUCAUGACGUAGAGAGAGAGAACACAGCAGAAUCCAUUGACUCAAGACAACGUGUGCAGAAGCAAUUUGCCUCUGAAACUCUAAACAUGCGACGCUUUGGUACUUCCUGGCAGCUCCUCAGGAGCUAGCAAAGAAAUACUUCCACAUGGAAGGAAAAGGUCCUUUGAAAUGUAGCUUGUUCUAUUUGAGAGAGAAACACAGCAAGGUUACUGCGGCUUCAGUGGCGAUAUGCAUUAUUAUUUAUUUUUCCAGUUCGAAAAUUGUGUGUCUUUUCAUUAGGACUCCUAGAUGGUAAACACCGAUCCCCACGUGAAUUGAAUUAGUCCAACCCCCUCCCUCCCUUGCUGGUUCAGGGAACAAUAGAGUAAACUCUGGCUGACAAAUUACGCCUUCAUUUAAUGAUUUGAUUAUCUGUUAAGUUAAAAACAAUCCUGUUAAAAGCCUGGACCCUACCUCGUAUUUAAUCUACAUUGUUACUCUUCCUUGUCUUCUGUUUUUGGGUUUGUUCCCCAAAGAUUAAAAAAAAAACUAUGUCACUUGUGCUCUGAGUUUGAAACAGACACGUGAUCAGGUCUGAUGUCAAAUUAGUAGGUGGCAGGAGAAAGCCUGUCGCAUGAUAGCGUGUUCUGCAGACGGCUUGAUUUUCUUUAAUAAAAAUAUUCUGCCUGAAAGGCUGGGAGUGACUGCGUAAUUCGGCCGCGGGCUCAGACCGGAGGCGUCUGCAGGCAGCUCGAAGCAGAGGAAACUUUUCUGCUCUGAGGUUUCGGAGGAACACUUUCAGCCAGACUGCAAACCGCCGAAAUGAAAGUGAAUCACGCAGACCAGUCAUACUUAAUCCAAGUGAAACUCAUUCAGUCAUUUCUUCUAUAAAUAUUUAUUGAAAGCCUAUUUUGUGUAAGAGGCUGCCACGUCCGAAAAGGCCAGGAAUUUUUUGCGUGAACUGAGACCCCCACGUGACAAAUAUGGUGGGCUGCCCUGUGUGUUCUGCGUGGACGCCCUCAGUGACUGCAGGAUCGUGGUGUCACGGCACAGGCCUGAUCCAGGAUUCUAGGGUGAAGAACAAAGUACAGCAGUGGUCUCAGGAAGAAGAGCCCACGUUCGAAGUUUGUAAAGCGACAGAACAAAGUUUGUUAUGAUGGAGGUCGUUGGAACAGGACAAAUGGGCUGAUCCCUGGCUGAUGGUGGGCCGGGACAGCCCCGAGGCAACGCCCCUGCUUGGCAUGAACAAGUGCUGGGUCAGCCCAGCGUGGACAAUGGGAAAAAUCAAGGUUCACAGUUGUUAAAACAACACCCCACUUCACGUGCUCAUUUGUGAAGUGGCAGUGCCGUUACUAACGCGGGUCUGUUCUGAGGAGCGACCUGUGAAGAUGGUUUCAAAGCACUUUGUGAUGAAGAGAAUGUUCUAUAAGUGGGUACUGAAAAUAAUCAAGACAUUCAUGGAUCCAAACAGGCCACAGAAACACCAUAGCAACAAAUGAACAAUAAUUGCUGCCUUACAGGCUAUUUCCUCAGCGACGCUCUCAUUCAAUCAGCACUCACGCCGUGUGCUCAGGAGGAGCGCAGGUCAGGUCUGGCUGCCACCAUCCAUGAAGAGGGUGUGCAGAACCAGACCAGGGUGGGGGCAAGAGGAAAGGUGGGUUUGUUCCCUCAUUUCCUUCCUCUCAGCUUCCUGCCCACUUAUUCCCUGACAUCUCCUCAGCACCGACAGAGAUGUGGUAGGUCUGGGCAUCCCGCACCCCAAGCCACUUAAUCCAAGUCACCUAAUAAGAUGUGCUGUGAAGAAACUAUCUCUUGCCCCAAAGUUCUUACCUUGAUGGACAUACAGCUAAGUCAAUGUAACGGAUGAGGCUGUGAGAGGAUAGUGAUGACAUGAUCCAUCUCUCUCUAAGACCACCAUCAAUAACGCAGCAAUGAGGGCCAUGGCUCCCUCAGCCUUGGGAAGUCUGCAAAAGCUAAUACAAAAUGUGCCAUUUCCAAGUUAUUUUUGGAAACAGACACAAGGUAGAUGUUACCCCCGCCCUGCUUCCCUAAGGCACAGAGGCUGGAAAGGAUUCACAGGCUCUGUUGGAUUCACCAUAAUUGGAAACCAAACCCUCAAUAAUAACCCCAGGAAUCCCCAGGAAGAUGCCAACAUGAGAAGGAAGGAUUCCGUUUUCGAGAGAAGGCCCUUGGCCUUACCCAUCUUGAUGACGUGUCGGCUGGCUGGAGAUGCCCAAGUUAGCGGAUCUGUUUCCUCCCUUCCAUCCCCCUCAAGUUGUUGUCUGCAAGGAAGCCUGGAUCUCAGCUAUUUGAAACUACUCAAUUAAUGGAGAAUGUUGGAAUCUACUCAACACUAAAUCUACUUUAUAACUUUUUAAUAUCUUUCAUCUGGUGUCUCAAACUUCUUUAAAAGGAAAAGAAUUUCAGCCCUGUCAGAUGGCAUCAGUAAUUACAAAGGACUUUCCUUAAGAAGACACAGUCACUUCUCAUCAAUAAAUUAGUUUUUCCAAGAUCCCUGCCUAUGAUACCUGGGCAAAAUUUCUUGAAGACAAAUGCUAUUAUCCACAUCGGAGGAUGAAGCAGAACUUCAGACACCACUAUACUUGUUCCUGUGCCAAAUUAUGGAAUAAAUGUCUUACUUUUUGAAGCAGAAAGGAGUUUCAAUAGUCUGGCCAUAUCCAACAGGACAAACUCAACCUUUGUGAUGAUCCAGGCAAGCUCUGCAUGGGCGUGGAUGACACCAUGAUCCAGUGAAUCAAGUCCCCCAGGAAACCUGAAGCCGUCAACCAGACAGUGCUAAGGCGAAAGAGAUUCGCGUGGAGGGCAGCAUCUUGGUGGAGCCUAUUUAUAGGCAUAUACAUGAAGAAGAGGUCAAGGAAAUCUUUUUUGGUCAACUCGCCAAAGCUUUCAGUUACAUCUAGUUAUGAUGGGGCAUUUAAGUCCGUUACAUUCUGGGAAAACAAUUCGACUGACCACAGACCACCAAGUAGCUUUUGGAACUACCCUAGAGAGAAUUUCCCGCUUUAGGAUGUUAGAGGACUCCAAGAGAACAGAGGCUGUAACUAAUCUGACCCUUAUCAGGAAGAAAUAGUGGGAGAUUUAAAGACGAACCACUUGGAGGAGGAUGGUUUGGAGGAAUCAGUCAUGAAAUAACCAGAUGCAAUAUUUAAAGGGAAGGAAAAAAAGAGAAAUCGAAAAAAUAAAGAAAAGAGAUGGUCUAUGAGUUGAUAAUUGUCAAAGCUGGGUGGGUAUAUGUGGGAGUCCAUUAUACCAUUCUCUCUUUUUUUGGUAUAUAUUUAGGAUUUCCAAAAGCAGAAAUUUUAGAACCUGCCAUGAAAACAAACAAACCGAAAAUAAGACGACAAUAAGAGAAAGCUGAUGAACCAAGAGUUACCACCAUGCACAUAGUAUUUAAAAAUGUGCAGUCGAUGGUCAAUGCCAAAGAAACAGCUAAAAUGGGGAGAGGGAUACACAGUUGGAUCAGGGUCCUGAUGGUUUAUAUUAUCAGUCCAUUUGAUGUUUUCCUUUAUAAAAAUAAAAAGACAAAAAUAAAAAGUAGAGAAAUUCUGAGUGGAAGAUUAUUUUCAACCUAUAUUUUUACAUCCAUCCAAACCAUAAAAUAUGAGGGUUAAAUAAAAACAUUUUUAGGUAUACCACUACCUAAAACUAUGCCCCUCUGUACCCUCCUUAGACACCACUAAAGGGUGUGCUUCCUCAUGGAGAAGAUUCAAUCUAAGAAAGAGGAAGCUGCAAGAUCAAGGAGACUGGUGUCCCACGGGACGGUGACAGAGGAAGUCCCAGGAUGGAUUCCUCUGUGCUCAGAUGUAGGGAGCAACCAGGCCAGACUGCUCUACUGUUUCCAAACAUGACCCCUACCACCCCUCCACUUUUCCCACUACUCUAUUUCAGUGAAAUGUCAGGUGAGAUGGGAAAUCCAACGGGAUUGUGAGUCAUUGGCCUGGCAGACCUUAAUACGACUCCCAGUGAGGUGUCUUUCCGGAAAACAAGUUAACAGGAUUCCUAAGCAAAUGGGGAAUUGGAACUGUUUUCAAGAAACGAUAAAGGGUGCAUUCCUCAGGGGCAUGCCUGUGGAUGAGCAGACUUCCUGACCCAACCAAUCCAGGUGUAUUUGAGAGGGAGGGACCCGAAUGGGAGACAGGACCAGAUAGAGGCUGUCUGGAGCCCCCGCUCUCCUACCGUCUCCAUGAGGAAGAUGGCUCAUUUCACUAUGUCCCAUGGACUCUAUGGAGAGUAGCCAAGAGUGGGCCAUCAUGUUGGUGCUCCAUCCAAGAAGACUACCUACUGGGUGAAGAGAGCCCAGCAGCAAGAGCCAUGGGGUGUGCAGACUCGGGCAGGAGGUAUCAUGCCAGCAGGGGGCUGAGGUUGGUGUGGGGACAGGCCAAGUGGCAUCGGCUUGCCUACUGGGGAAAUGAGCAAUGAUCCUACCCUGCCCACAUGCAUACACUGAAGAAUUCAUACUGUGUCAGCAAGGGACCAGCAUUUAGACACCUGUAUCGAUGUACACCCCAGAAGAACAGCAACCCCCAACUGAAUAUUAAAAUUGCUUCCUCACAAAGUCACAGUCAAACCAGAUCCUAGAGAUAGGGUCUUAGUGAACAGCACAGUUCUAUAGUGGCAAACUUAAGAAGAUUCCACAGCACAGAAGAAAUAAGAAAUAUUAACGUUUUUCAAAUAUAUUAAAUAAAGGAAAAUCCCCAUCCCUGAAAGAAGAAAGCAGAAAAACAGAGUAUAUUUUUUUAAAUGUUUGAGUUCAUUAUUUUUGCUGAAGAACACUUCUUUCUGCAAACACCAAAUUUGCACAUUCCCGUGUGAGAUGCAUGGAUGAAAAGGCAGAUUACUAAAGGAAAAUGAAUAAUUGAAUAUCACCUUGCAAAGGAUCUGUUUCUUUAGGGGAGCCUGGUGGUGUACUCUCUGGGCCACAUUAGGCGUUGGCAGGCGUCACAAUGGGACAUGAGCCAUCAUGUGAGAAGUCCUAGAGGACAGGGGAGAUCUAUUGCGGAUCUGGAAAGAAACGGUGUGACCAUCUUUUAAAAGAGGUGGGCUAGGACCUGAUUACAGACUGCUCAUCUUGGAAUGAACAUCCGGGAAGAUACUGGGACAAAUCAUUGCAUCAUUAAUUGGCCAUCAACUAGGAGGGCAGAAGACACUAGGAAGGAACCAGUAAAUGUUUUCUGAAAGGGCAAAUGGACUCGGCAUAAUUCAAGGCCCCACUCUAAGUCUUAAAGUGCAGCAUGGCCCCGGGAGAUGGGCCUGGGACUCAAGCACUGUGGGUGCCAGGGAAUUUGCUGGCAUACAAGUGAACUAUCAUAGGGCAUUGUGAGCCAUCCCGUAGUUACUAUAAACAGUGUAUUUAGACACAAAACCAAUUUCAGCAAAUCUUUCCAAAUGUGAAGGAUAAAUGACAGACAUAUAUAAUAGGAUAUGAGAUUCGAAGAGCAAACCCUAGCAAGACUGCCCCUGAACAGCUGGAGCAAAGAGCGUUCUAGGGCCACACAGGGGGCACCAGUCUCCAGACAUGCAGCUAUUUGUUGUGUACACCAACCAGAGGGGCCCAGAAAUGCAGAUGCAACCACAGCAAUCACGAGGAGGGCAGGCACAUUGCAAAGUGAAUGUUGGACAAGAAUUGCCCUGUAGCAUUUUUAUUAUUCUGUUUAGUCACAAUAAAAAAAAAAUAGCUGACGUUAAGUAGAAUUUCUAAUCUACCAAAUAAGUUUCUAAGCACUUUGAUCUUUUAACUCAUAUAAUCUGGUAACAGGUGGGACUCUUAUUAUCUCCAUUUACAAAUGGGGAAACUGAGGCUCUGAGAAGUAAAGCAGUUUUUUCAUUGUCAUUCAGCCGGUGAGCAGCCAGCAGGAGCACUGUCAGCUAAAAUUAAAGAACACAACGGAACUUUCUGUUCUUUAAUGUUUCUCCAACUUAUUCACAUGAACUGUUGAUAUAUCUGACUGACUAUAAUUAAAUAUAACAUUUUGUGCUAGAUCAAAUCGUACAUUUGCUUUUACUCCAACUUCUAGUAUAAAAAAGCAACAGGUAUCAGAGAAAAUUAAAAAGCAUUUUUAUAGGAGAAUGACACAAAAGUUAAAGACAUUCAAGCUAUCACUUUCGUUUUUUUCUACACUUGGGAACAUCUGGCCACAGGCUGCCCCGGACCAGGGUUCAGUGCCAGUGAAGCAGGGCCUGAAAACAAGGCUUCUACGAUCUGAACUUGGGCACACAGACUAACGUGUUUCUGCAACUCAUAGUCUCUCCUGGUAAAGGAAUUACGGAUCUGGUGCCGGCUGUUGGUUGGCAGAACAUGCAGAGGCGGAUCCAAGGGCGGAGAGGCACCAGGAGAAGGCAGGUCUGGUCAGGCUUAGAGCAUGUCCCUUGCCUCCUCCAGCUCUGGGAUAUCCCCGGGUGUUGUGCGUGUUACCGUGUGCAUCCACAUGCACUGAAAUUAUCACCCUAACUGGGUAGAUAAGCCCCCCAGUGGGGCCUUCAAGCUCACAACCAGCGCUUUCCAUGUUUUCGCAUCUCCCGGUGGGAGCCCCUGUGGGUGUCCUCCAGGCUGGGAACAGGAGCCGAUGGAUGAGCACAACACCCACAGCGGGAGAUUACACCUGGACAUGACUGUGCUCCUUUGCCUUUCCCACAUUUUACAACAAAAUUUGAUAAAAAGGUAGAAGGCACUCACUCAGUCAAUGUUAUGCCUCCUCGAGGCUCUAGUCACAAAGGGAACCUUCAGAACACACAAAGCAGUUGGAGUUAGAUGAAGGCAGACACCUGUCAUCAUCC
rnacentral:lncRNA from 1 species